rnacentral:rRNA from 1 species
CAAAACUCAAAAAAAUAAGUCUCAGUUCGGAUUGAAGGCUGAAAUUCGCCUUCAUGAAGCCGGAAUUGCUAGUAAUGGCAGGUCAGCAUACUGCCGUGAAUACGUUCCCGGGCCUUGUACACACCGCCCGUCACACCAUGAGAGUUGGGAAUACCCGAAGCCUGUGAGCUAACUUUUAGAGGCAGCAGUCGAAGGUAGAAUCAAUGAUUGGGGUGAAGUCGUAACAAGGUAGC